rnacentral:lncRNA from 1 species
AAUCCAGAUGGUGGCAGGGCUGUUUUCCUUCCUGGAGGCUCAGGGGAUCUCUUACCUCUUUUCUUGCAUUUUCUAGCUUCUGGAGGCUGCUGCAUUCCUUGGCUUGUGGCCCUUCCAUUUGCAAAGCCAGCACUGGCUGGGGGAGCUUUCCUUACAAGGCAUCACUCUGACGCUGACUCCUGUCUCUCACUCUUCCACAUUCAGGUCCUUCGUGAUUAUGUCAUUUCUGGUCCACCCAGAUUAUCUAGGCUGCGGCUGAUUAUCUACCUGCAUUCCAUCGGCCAGCUAAUUCCCUUUCACCACAUGAGACCAAAGGCGAGGGUCAUCUCCAAGAAAAGAUCACAGGCUGCUGGGCUGCAAGCUGAACUACCAUUUUUGUGUGAAACAAUAUUUUUACUUGAAAGAAUGGUGGAAGGACAAACUACAGUUUCACACUUGAGUAUGUGGUAGGUAUUUUCUUAAAAAUGAACCCAAUGAGCCAGUUGCUUCAAGGAAAACAAUAAACAGU